rnacentral:rRNA from 1 species
UACGGGGGGAGCAAGCGUUGUUCGGAUUUACUGGGCGUAAAGGGCGCGUAGGCGGCGCAACAAGUCACUUGUGAAAUCUCCGGGCUUAACCCGGAGCGGUCAAGUGAUACUGUCGUGCUAGAGUGCGGAAGGGGCUACUGGAAUUCUCGGUGUAGCGGUGAAAUGCGUAGAUAUCGAGAGGAACACCUGCGGCGAAGGCGGGUAGCUGGGCCGACACUGACGCUGAUGCGCGAAAGCGUGGGGAGCGAACAGGAUUAGAUACCUUGUA